rnacentral:lncRNA from 1 species
AAGAAUGAGGCUUCUGCAGUUAAAAGGAUUUACGUCCUCGUUGGUGACGGUAGCAGGUACGAACUGAACUGAACAUAUAUUAUUAAGUUUUUUUGAUGAAGUUAAUAGAUUGUUACUCGUCGUACUAUUUUUGAGCCCAUCAGCUCAAGAAACUGGAUGCAAGUGCAACUGGACAGUGGGUGUCACUGUGUGAGCAUAGCACAAGGCUACGUUUCAACAGCUUACUUGGAACAGUAGUAUAAAACAAGAUGCUCAUCUCCAGCUCUAAAGCCUCACGGCUCUGCCAGGCCAAAGAAAACUAACACAUGGGGCCUCCUUUCUCUCUCUCAUCAUGGAAACAACCAC